rnacentral:rRNA from 1 species
AUUGAACGCUGGCGGCAGGCCUAACACAUGCAAGUCGAGCGAGCGGCGGACGGGUGAGUAAUUUCUGGGAAACUGCCUGAUGGAGUGGGAUAACUCCUGGAAACGGUAGCUAAUACCGCAUAACAUCAGAUGGGCCCAGAUGGGAUUAGCUAGUAGGUGGGGUAACGGCCCACCAAGGCGACGAUCCCUAGCUGGUCUGAGAGGAGGACCAGCCACACGGGAACUGAGACACGGUCCAGACUCCGACGGGAAGCAGCAGGGGGGAAUAUUGCACAAUGGGGGCAAGCCUGAUACAGCCAUGCCGCGUGUGGGAAGAAGGCCUUCGGGUUGUAAAGCACUUUCAGCGGGGAGGCGUUACCCGCAGAAGAAGCACCGGCUAACUCCGGGCCAGGAGCCGCGGUAAUAC